GACGAACGCUGGCGGCGUGCUUAACACAUGCAAGUCGAACGGAAAGGCCCUGCUUUUGUGGGGUGCUCGAGUGGCGAACGGGUGAGUAACACGUGAGUAACCUGCCCUUGACUUUGGGAUAACUUCAGGAAACUGGGGCUAAUACCGGAUAGGAGCUCCUGCUGCAUGGUGGGGGUUGGAAAGUUUCGGCGGUUGGGGAUGGACUCGCGGCUUAUCAGCUUGUUGGUGGGGUAGUGGCUUACCAAGGCUUUGACGGGUAGCCGGCCUGAGAGGGUGACCGGCCACAUUGGGACUGAGAUACGGCCAAGACUCCUACGGGAGGCAGCAGGGGGGAAUAUUACACAAUGGGCGGAAGCCUGAUGCAGCAACGCCGCGUGCGGGAUGACGGCCUUCGGGUUGUAAACCGCUUUCGCCUGUGACGAAGCGUGAGUGACGGUAAUGGGUAAAGAAGCACCGGCUAACUACGUG
rnacentral:rRNA from 1 species